CGGGGUAUAGCGCAGUCUGGUAGCGCGCACGCCUGGGGGGCGUGAGGUCUUCAGUUCGAGUCUGAAUACCCCGACCA
rnacentral:tRNA from 1 species